AAAUUGAAGAGUUUGAUCAUGGCUCAGAUUGAACGCUGGCGGCAGGCCUAACACAUGCAAGUCGAACGGUAACAGGAAGCAGCUUGCUGCUUCGCUGACGAGUGGCGGACGGGUGAGUAAUGUCUGGGAAACUGCCUGAUGGAGGGGGAUAACUACUGGAAACGGUGGCUAAUACCGCAUAACGUCGCAAGACCAAAGAGGGGGACCUUCGGGCCUCUUGCCAUCAGAUGUGCCCAGAUGGGAUUAGCUGGUUGGUGAGGUAACGGCUCACCAAGGCGACGAUCCCUAGCUGGUCUGAGAGGAUGACCAGCCACACUGGAACUGAGACACGGUCCAGACUCCUACGGGAGGCAGCAGUGGGGAAUAUUGCACAAUGGGCGCAAGCC
rnacentral:rRNA from 1 species